AUACUAACCUUGCGUAGGGUGUACCGUGAUCAAGAAGGCGGUUGCCCCGGGCCGGCUCCGACCAUUGCACUGCGGUUGGGCUCAGCUGGUCUGCGAGUACCCUAGUGGAUACUUCGUACGUGUAAUUUUUGGUAGUUGGACUUGCGUUCUGCGCGGUCCAU